rnacentral:rRNA from 1 species
GACGAACGCUGGCGGCGUGCUUAACACAUGCAAGUCGAACGAUGACGACCGAGCUUGCUCGGUCUGAUUAGUGGCGAACGGGUGAGUAACACGUGAGCAACCUGCCCUUCACUCUGGGAUAACCUCGGGAAAUCGGGGCUAAUACCGGAUAUGAGCUCCUGUCGCAUGGCGGGUGUUGGAAAGUUUUUCGGUGAAGGAUGGGCUCGCGGCCUAUCAGUUUGUUGGUGAGGUAGUGGCUCACCAAGGCGAUGACGGGUAGCCGGCCUGAGAGGGCGACCGGCCACACUGGGCCUGAGACACGGCCCAGACUCCUACGGGAGGCAGCAGUGGGGAAUAUUGCACAAUGGGCGAAAGCCUGAUGCAGCGACGCCGCGUGAGGGAUGACGGCCUUCGGGUUGUAAACCUCUUUCAGCAGGGAAGAAGCGAAAGUGACGGUACCUGCAGAAGAAGCGCCGGCUAACUACGUG